AGCACCCUGAACACUCCCAAUCUCUUCUGGUCUCAGAAGCUAAGCAGGGUUGAGAUUGGUUAGUACUUGGAUGGGAGAAAAUAAGAAAGGAAAUC
rnacentral:rRNA from 1 species